rnacentral:rRNA from 1 species
GACGUAGGGCGCGAGCGUUGUCCGGAUUUAUUGGGCGUAAAGAGCUCGUAGGCGGUCUGUCGCGUCUGGUGUGAAAUCCCAUGGCUCAACUGUGGGCUUGCAUCGGGUACGGGCAGACUAGAGUGCUGUAGGGGAGACUGGGAAUUCCUGGUGUAGCGGUGAAAUGCGCAGAUAUCAGGAGGAACACCGGUGGGCGAAGGCGGGUCUCUGGGCCGAUACUGACGCUGGAGGAGCGAAAGCGUGGGGAGCGAACAGG